GAAAAAAUGAGUUUGAUCCUGGCUCAUGGUUGAACGCUGGCGGUAUGCCUAAUACAUGCAAGUCGAACGGUGCAUGCUGCAAUUCUUUUGCGGCAGCAAAGUGGCAAACGGGUGCGUAAUAGGUGGGAAUAAGCCCUUCAAUUUGGUUAAAAACCGAAUAAAAAAAGGGUGCAGAGCAGUGCGGCCCAAUACCGCACUGCUGCGUUACUUCAUCCCUGUUGAAGGAAGAGCCCACGCAGGAUUAGGUUGUUGGUUGGGUAAUAGCUAACCAAGCCUAUGAUCCUUAGCCGACCUUUUUGGGUGUUCGGCCACACUGGGACUGAGACACGGCCCAGACUUCUACGGAAGGCAGCAGUAGGGAAUCUUGGGCAAUGAGCGAAAGCUUGACCCAGCAAUACCGCGUGGGAGAGGAAGGCCACAAAGGUUGUAAAUCCCUUUCAUCGAGUCAAGAUAAUGACACAACUCGAAAAAUGAAGCCCUCGCCAAUACCCGUGCCAGCAGCGGCGGUAAGACGGGAAGGGCAAGUGUUAACCAGAAUAAUUGGGCGUAAAGGAUACGUAGGCUGUGAAGAAAUGAGCAAAGGGUGAAAGUCACGAGCUUAACUGGUGAAUGGCCUUUUGCAGUUCUCACUUGAGUAAGAUAGGGGAGAGUGGAAUUUCUAGUGGAGAGAUGAAAUGUAUAGAUAUUAGAAGGAACUCCGAAAGCGAAGGCGACUCUCUGGAUCUUCACUGACGCUGAGGUAUGAAAGCGUGAGGAGCAAAUAGGAUUAGGUACCCUAGUAGUUCACGCCGUAAAAGAUGGAUGUUCGUUGUCGGUAUUCUUUAAUAUCGGUGACUUAGCUAACGCGUUUAACAUCCCGCCUGGGGAGUACGAUCGCAAGAUUAAAACUCAAAGGAAUUGACGGGAGUCUAAACAAGCGGUGGAUCAUGUGGUUUAAUUCGACACUACGCGCAAAACCUUACCAACUCUUGACAUUUCGGGAAGCUUUUUUUGAAAAAAAAAACGCUGUCUUUUCCGAAACAGGUGCUGCAUGGCUGUCGUCAGCUCGUGCUGUGAAGCGUUUGGUUAAUUCCCUUCAACGAGCGAAACCCUUAUUUCUUGUUACAGCAAUGCGGCACGGCUCUAACCCGUUGGGUUUGCGCCGUGUCACUAACCGCAGCCCCUGAGGGACUGCGCCGGCGGCACUUCCGGAAUAGCAGCACAGGUUUGCGCUGUGCCGCGCCGCGCUUCCGGCAACCUUCCGGCUGUUCAAUUCAUGACUGGACUCAAGAAAAAUUAUGGUGAGAAACCUGACCGAAAUGGGGACGACGUCAAGUCCGCAUGGCCCUUAUGAGUUGGGCUACACACGUGAUACAAUGGUAAUGACAAUGGGAAGCAAUACCGCGAGGUGGAGCGAAUCCUUAAACAUUAUCUCAGUUCGGAUUGUUCGCUGCAACUCGCGAGCAUGAAGCAGGAAUCGCUAGUAAUCGCGGAUCAGCAUGCCGCGGUGAAACUGUUAAUAGACUUGUACACAUAGCCCGUCACGCCCUGGAAAAUUUGCAUGCUGGAAGUGCAACAUCUUUUUCACAAAAAAAACUUUCGGGGGGGAUCGCAGCAGCGAUCCAUUUCGAAGGCAAAAUUUGUGAUGAGACUCGUAACAAAGCAAGCAAUGUGACUGGGGCGAAGUCGUAACAAGGUAGUCGUAGGGGAACCUGCGGCUGGAAUGUCUCCUUAG
rnacentral:rRNA from 1 species